rnacentral:rRNA from 1 species
AGGUAGUGACGAAAAAUAACGAUACGGGACUCAUCCGAGGCCCCGUAAUCGGAAUGAGUACACUCUAAACCCUUUAACGAGUAUCCAUUGGAGGGCAAGUCUGGUGCCAGCAGCCGCGGUAAUUCCAGCUCCAAUAGCGUAUAUUAAAGUUGUUGCGGUUAAAAAGCUCGUAGUUGGACUUGUGUCCCACGCUGUCGGUUCACCGUUNGUCGGUGUUUAACUGGCAUGCUCGUGCGGACGUCCUGCCGGUGGAUGCGGCCGGCCGCGGGCCUCUGGUCUGCGUGUCGGCGGUCCGAUGCAAUCCUACCGCGGUGCUCUUCACCGAGUGUCGAGGUGGGCCGGCACGUUUACUUUGAACAAAUUAGAGUGCUCAAAGCAGGCAGUGGUUCGCCUGAAUAUUGUGUGCAUGGAAUAAUGGAAUAGGACCUCGGUUCUAUUUUGUUGGUUUUUCGGAACCUGAGGUAAUGAUUAAUAGGGACAGACGGGGGCAUUCGUAUUGCGACGUUAGAGGUGAAAUUUCUUGGAUCGUCGCAAGACGAACCUAAGCGAAAGCAUUUGCCAUGAGUGUUUUCAUUAAUCAAGAACGAAAGUUAGAGGGUUCGAAGGCGAUCAGAUACCGCCCUAGUUCUAACCAUAAACGAUGCCAGCUAGCGAUCCGCCGAAGUUCCUCCGAUGACUCGGCGGGCAGCUUCCCGGAAACCAAAGCUUUUGGGUUCC